rnacentral:rRNA from 1 species
CGGGUGAGUAACGCGUGGGAAUAUGCCCCUCGGUUCGGAAUAGCCUCGGGAAACUGGGAGUAAUACCGGAUACGGUCUACGGACGAAAGAUUAUCGCCGAGGGAUUAGCCCGCGUUGGAUUAGGUAGUUGGUGGGGUGAUGGCCUACCAAGCCGACGAUCCAUAGCUGGUUUGAGAGGAUGAUCAGCAACACUGGGACUGAGACACGGCCCAGACUCCUACGGGAGGCAGCAGUGGGGAAUCUUAGACAAUGGGCGCAAGCCUGAUCUAGCCAUGCCGCGUGAUCGAUGAAGGCCUUACGGUUGUAAAGAUCUUUCAGUGGGGAAGAUAAUGACGGUACCCACAGAAGAAGCCCCGGAUAACUCCGUGCCAGCAGCCGCGGUAAUACGGAGGGGGCUAGCGUUAUUCGGAAUUACUGGGCGUAAAGCGCACGUAGGCGGACCGGAAAGUCAGAGGUGAAAUCCCA